rnacentral:tRNA from 3 species
GCGGGUGUAGUGUAGUCUGGUUAUCACCCAAGCUUGCCAAGCUUGCAACCCGGGUUCAAAUCCCGGCGCCCGCA